UUGAAUCUCAAUGUUAAAAUAAGAGAAGAAAUGAGAAACACGACUUUUUCUUCAAAAUUGGUUCACGUAUUCACUGUGUUUCUUCUUUGCCAUACCGAGUCUGUUCUUCCUUCGCACCAUGAACCACUCUCAAUCACUGGAUUGAGAAGGGAGCUGACACGAGUACGGCGAUCAAAGAGUCCACCAGCUCUUCACUACUCACCGCCGCCAAGGCCACAAUCACCACCGCCACCAAAAAUGCUGCAUAUUCCACCACCGCCGUUGUCAGUGCCGCACAAGACAUCACUUAAGCAUCCAGUAUCUCAUAUGCCUCAAACCGGGCAAAAAAACAAACCGAAAGUAUAUGGUUGAUGCUCGAUAUGCUUUAUUUCAUUUUUUUGCAAUUGUUGUUAUUUGUUUCAGUUAAUAACGAAGGGCUUGGUCUUCCUUUCGUUGAGGAACCACCUUCUUCACUUCUCUACUUUUUCGGUUUGUAAGAGAUGAGCUCCAUGAUUUGGUUUUCUUGCUGUAUUUAAUAACUGCAAAAGUCAAAAUAGACAAUUCCAAUUGCCGAAACAAUUGUGUCGGUUUGAUAGAUCUCAAAAUCCACUCAGAAAAUAGAGUAUGUGAUAACGUAUAUGAGAAAUUACGAAGGGAAGUAUAUUGACUAGUGAUUAAGUAUAAAAAGUGUAUGUUUUAUUUUCAACGCAAGAAGAUACUACUGUGGAGAGUCAAAGUAUUGUGUGUGAAUCAGAACAGCCAAACGAUCUCUGGCAGGUCAGCUCCACAUGGAUUGCAUCUGGUCGAGAUGGGCCUUCAACCUACAAGGGUCUAUUGUCUUCUCUUGGGCUCUAAUGACAUUGGACCGGACUAUUCGACCAGGUCUAGAGUGUGGUGAAACAUGCUCCAACAAUAGCUCUUGGAGUCCAGCGUGUCCCAUGUCGUCAGAAGGGUAUUGAUAUCGACUUGGGUAGUGUAUUUUAGACAGACAAUAUUUGAAUUUCAAAUUCGUUUCGAGAUUCCAGUUUGGCGAAUUAAUUACAAGUUUUGAUUCAUUAGAAAGCGAAUCGAUAACGGCGAAUCGAUAACGGCGUGGCAAUCAUUUCCUUUUGUGGUUUCCGAUUUUUAGAAUAUAAACUGCUUGUCUUCCUUCUUCGUCCCUCACACUUGUUAUUAGAAGAAACCGAAAGCUCUGUUUCUCCGUUGCUCUCUCUCUCUCUCUCUUUUGUCUUUCUACUUGCUUGACACUGCUUCAUUAGAUUUUAUCGAUAUUUGGCAUGAUUCUCUUUCGUCUUUUAUCCUCGAGUUUUUUAAUUGUCGUUUUUGAGUUCCUCUUUUCAAUACUGUGGUUGAUCGUUGGAAUCGCUGCUUUUUUUAAUGUAUACCGCCUCAAGAUUCCGGUUUUUUAGCACGAGCGACUGUUUUUGGUGUUUGAUUUUGUUGCUGAUCAGAUGUCUCCUUUUUAGUUUGAUCUAGUGAAGUUCUCGCCUUUCAUAUUAUAUUUUCGGGGAAUUUCUAUCUCUUUCCUUGUGUCUCCUUUUUUGACUUUUAUCUUACAAUUGUUUUGUGUGGUAGUUGUUUAUUUUAUAUAGUCUUGCUUCAUCAUUGUGCAUCCAAAUAUUUUCAUCCCCAAUCUCGCUUAAGCAUCUAAGGAGAGAGGCUACAAUCAAAGAGAUGGAUGAUUUCACCAAGACAGUAUUGAAGAUCCAUAAAGAAGAGCCUUUCAAUUACGGUUACUACCACUACAGGCUCUGAGUGUCUUUAAGAGAAAGCAUAGACAGAAGAUGACAUCAAGCAAAUGUUCCAUCAACUUAGAGGCAAUAUGAAGAAGGUGAUUAUGCUGAAGAAGGAGUGAGAGAGAGAGAACUUUUAUUAAUCUAAUUAUGUUAUAAUUGUCUAGAUAUAGACUUACAAGAAUAAUAAACAAAAGAGAAGUAAGUCAACUGUACAGUUCUGUGUCAGA